AAAAUCCAAAUGCACCUGUUGUUACUUACAAUCCUACAUCUGUAGUAUUCAAGAAGAAGAAAGACUCUGAAGUCACUGCUAUACCACUCACAGAGAUUGGGAAACUCAAUUCCAAAAGAAUCACUCGUGCAGUUGCAGCUGUUAAGUGGUCAGUGGUAAAAGAAGACAAGAGUGUGCUCAAAGAUUUGGUUGAUCUUCUGGAGAUAAGAAAAGCUGUAGAGACUGUCCACAACACUUCUAGAGUUCGUGC
rnacentral:lncRNA from 1 species